AAAGGUAGUUGUAAACGGCCCGCGGGAUUUUCUUUAUGGCUGGAAUCCGCGCGUCGACUCUAGCACGAUCUCGCGGUGUUUACUCGAUCUUACCGACAACUGGUAGACGCCAACUGAGUGCGUUUCCCCAAUCUUCCCCUUCGGACUGACAGGCUGGGUGGCUGACCCAGUACCUGCUGGCGGAAGGUUCGACUAGAGAACCGUGUCUCUUUAACAGUUAAGCACUGAUUCGUCGGAACGACACUCGCCAGGCGAGUGGUCCGCAACCGAAGGAAGCGAGUGUUUAACCGUUGUUACGGCGGUUCAACAACAGAGGAGAACCAGUCGUGGAUAUUUCCUCUUGUUUUUCCCUUCAGACGGACAGGCUGAUGUUUUAACCAGUACCUGACAGUGGAAGGUUCCAAUAGGGAGCUCUCUCUCUUAACGAUUGAAAGCUGACUCGUCAGAACGACACCCGCCAGGCGAGUAGUCCGCAACCGAAGGAGUCGAGUUUGCAAUCGUUGGUGAUAACCUUAGUGGUUGGACUUACCAGGAAUUUCUCUCUAGAAAGACAAGUUGCCUGUUCCGAGUCUAAACGUAAGAUCAUGUAUUUCGUGGUUGGUUCUGGGUUUUUAUAGGCGACUUUCGUCGAUCUGGGGGACUUAUUCUAAGAAGUGACAAAUGCAGUUCUAUCGUAGGUCCUAUUGAUUCUUAAAGUUAGAAAGGGACAAUUGUCGUGAUUGCCUAAAUCUAAUUUUCUCCCACGAGAAAGAAGCAAAGAGAUUUCAAUGUUUUAGGUUUUUUCUCGUAAGGUAUGUCUCUGAGUGCGUAGGUAAUAAAUUUCGAAUUUAAUUACUUUGUUUCUUUCGUUGCGUGGGAUGAUUACUUUCUAUGCGUGGGUUGACGCAGGGACAUAUUUGUUCUUGUUGCGCCUUACCAUUAGAUCAAUGCUUUCCCUUUCUCUUCGUUAUGACUCCUGUCCGCGUAUCAAUCGAAUGCGUCAGGCUCAGCGAGGGCCUGCGCUUUGUGCUUAUGACGGUUUGGUCCUACCUGCUUGCUAUGGAAGGAAAUUGUUAACGAUCUUUGUUUUUAUGGCUUUCCCUUCCUUCUGAGUUGAUGGGGCAGUGCGCCUUUACUUUCUAAUGCUAAUGUUACCAUCUGUUUUUUGUGCUGAGUGAUGGCUCUGUCUGUUUAGAAUGCUAUAGGGGAAGGGAUCGGUAAGGUUCUAGUAUAUCCCUUCGCAUGGUUUGAGUUGCCUUCUUCUGUUUGUGGGUCGUAAAUUACGUGCUUAUUGGCUAGUUGUUUAAUUUCGUUUCUUCUCUCUGUCAUUGGUUCGCAUCCGAUCGCAAAUUAAUCGU